CCUACGGGCGGCAGCAGUGAGGAAUAUUGGUCAAUGGGCGAGAGGCUGAACCAGCCAAGUCGCGUGAGGGAAGACGGCCCUACGGGUUGUAAACCUCUUUUGUCGGGGAGCAAAGCGAACCACGUGUGGUUCAUUGAGAGUACCCGAAGAAAAAGCAUCGGCUAACUCCGUUCCAGCAGCCGCGGUAAUACGGAGGAUGCGAGCGUUAUCCGGAUUUAUUGGGUUUUAAGGGUGCGCAGGCGGAGGUGCAAGUCAGCGGUCAAAUUGCGGGGCUCAACCCCGUACUGCCGUUGAAACUGCAUCCCUUGAGUGCGCGAGAAGUAUGCGGAAUGUGUGGUGUAGCGGUGAAAUGCAUAGAUAUCACGCAGAACUCCGAUUGCGAAGGCAGCAUACCGGCGCGCAACUGACGCUCAUGCACGAAAGCGUGGGUAUCGAACAGGAUUAGAUACCCGAGUAGUC
rnacentral:rRNA from 1 species